ACAAAAUGGGGUACUUGAGAC
rnacentral:piRNA from 1 species